CAGCACCUCAAGUGGUCAGGAUGAUUAUUGGGCCUAAAGCAUCCGUAGCCGGCUCUGUAAGUUUUCGGUUAAAUCUGUAUGCUCCACAUACAGGCUGCCGGGAAUACUGCAGAGCUAGGGAGUGGGAGAGGUAGACGGUACUCGGUAGGAAGGGGUAAAAUCCUUUGAUCUAUUGAUGACCACCUGUGGCGAAGGCGGUCUACCAGAACACGUCCGACGGUGAGGGAUGAAAGCUGGGGGAGCAAACCGGAUUAGAUACCCGAGUAGUCC
rnacentral:rRNA from 1 species